rnacentral:rRNA from 1 species
UUGAACGCUGGCGGCAUGCUUUACACAUGCAAGUCGAACGGUAACAGGUUAAGCUGACGAGUGGCGAACGGGUGAGUAAUGCAUCGGAACGUGCCCGAUCGUGGGGGAUAACGCAGCGAAAGCUGCGCUAAUACCGCAUACGAUCUGAGGAUGAAAGCGGGGGAUCGCAAGACCUCGCGCGGACGGAGCGGCCGAUGGCAGAUUAGGUAGUUGGUGGGAUAAAAGCUUACCAAGCCGACGAUCUGUAGCUGUCUGAGAGGACGACCAGCCACACUGGGACUGAGACACGGCCCAGACUCCUACGGGAGGCAGCAGUGGGGAAUUUUGGACAAUGGGCGAAAGCCUGAUCCAGCCAUGCCGCGUGCAGGAUGAAGGCCUUCGGGUUGUAAACUGCUUUUGUACGGAACGAAAAAGUCUUCUCUAAUACAGGGGGCGAAUGACGGUACCGUAAGAAUAAGCACCGGCUAACUACGU